UGAAAACUAAGUCUGCUAAUUAUGGUGCUG
rnacentral:piRNA from 1 species